rnacentral:tRNA from 1 species
GGGGAGAUAGCUUAGUGGCAGAAGCGCCUGCCUGGAAAGCGCAAGGUCCUGAGUUUGACUUUCAGUAACCCUC